UUAUUCUCAAAUCAGGUAGGACUACCCGCUGAACUUAA
rnacentral:rRNA from 1 species